rnacentral:siRNA from 1 species
GCAACGCUUGUAGUCUUACUUUGC